UACGUAGGGCGCAAGCGUUAUCCGGAAUUAUUGGGCGUAAAGAGCUCGUAGGCGGUUUGUCGCGUCUGCCGUGAAAGUCCGGGGGCUCAACUCCGAUCUGCGGUGGGUACGGGCAGACUAGAGUGAUGUAGGGGAGACUGGAAUUCCUGGUGUAGCGGUGAAAUGCGCAGAUAUCAGGAGGAACACCGAUGGCGAAGGCAGGGAUCGUCUGGGCCGAUACUGACGCUGAGGCACGAAAGCCAGGGGAGCAAAACGGG
rnacentral:rRNA from 1 species